rnacentral:rRNA from 1 species
GACGAACGCUGGCGGCGUGCUUAACACAUGCAAGUCGAACGGUAAGGCCUUUCGGGGUACACGAGUGGCGAACGGGUGAGUAACACGUGGGUGAUCUGCCCUGCACUUCGGGAUAAGCCCGGGAAACUGGGUCUAAUACCGGAUAGGACUGCGCGGUGCAUGCCGUGUGGUGGAAAGAUUUAUCGGUGCAGGAUGGGCCCGCGGCCUAUCAGCUUGUUGGUGGGGUAAUGGCCUACCAAGGCGACGACGGGUAGCCGGCCUGAGAGGGCGACCGGCCACACUGGGACUGAGACACGGCCCAGACUCCUACGGGAGGCAGCAGUGGGGAAUAUUGCACAGUGGGCGCAAGCCUGAUGCAGCGACGCCGCGUGAGGGAUGACGGCCUUCGGGUUGUAAACCUCUUUCAGCAGGGACGAGGCGUGAGUGACGGUACCUGCAGAAGAAGCACCGGCCAACUACGUG